rnacentral:rRNA from 1 species
UACGUAGGGUGCGAGCGUUGUCCGGAAUUAUUGGGCGUAAAGAGCUCGUAGGCGGUCUGUCGCGUCUGCUGUGAAAAACUCAGGGCUUAACCCUGAGCUUGCAGUGGGUACGGGCAGACUAGAGUGCGGUAGGGGAGACUGGAAUUCCUGGUGUAGCGGUGAAAUGCGUAGAGAUCCGGAGGAACACCAAAGGCGAAGGCAGUGUCCUGGGGAGUACCUGACGCUCAGGGUGCGAAAAGCCAGGGGAGCGAACGGG